rnacentral:rRNA from 1 species
UCGAACGGCAGCACGGAGCUUGCUCUGGUGGCGAGUGGCGAACGGGUGAGUAAUAUAUCGUGAACGUACCCAAGAGUGGGGGAUAACGUAGCGAAAGUUACGCUAAUACCGCAUACGAUCUCAGGAUGAAAGCAGGGGACCGCAAGGCCUUGUGCUCCUGGAGCGGCCGAUAUCUGAUUAGCUAGUUGGUGGGGUAAAGGCCCACCAAGGCAACGAUCAGUAGCUGGUCUGAGAGGAGACCAGCCCCMCUGGAACUGAGACACGGUCCAGACUCUACGGGAGGCAGCAGUGGGGAAUUUUGGACAAUGGGGGCAACCCUGAUCCAGCAAUGCCGCGUGAGUGAAGAAGGCCCUCGGGUUGUAAAGCUCUUUUGUCAGGGAAGAAAAGGCUGUGGCUAAUAUCCAUGGCUCAUGACGGUACCUGAAGAAUAAGCACCGGCUAACUACGUGCCAGCAGCCGCGGUAAUACGUAGGGUGCAAGCGUUAAUCGGAAUUACUGGGCGUAAAGCGUGCGCAGGCGGUUUUGUAAGACUGUCGUGAAAUCCCCGGGCUCAACCUGGGAAUGGCGAUGGUGACUGCAAGGCUAGAGUUUGGCAGAGGGGGGUAGAAUUCCACGUGUAGCAGUGAAAUGCGUAGAUAUGUGGAGGAACACCGAUGGCGAAGGCAGCCCCCUGGGUCAAAACUGACGCUCAUGCACGAAAGCGUGGGGAGCAAACAGGAUUAGAUACCCUGGUAGUCCACGCCCUAAACGAUGUCUACUAGUUGUCGGGUCUUAAUUGACUUGGUAACGCAGCUAACGCGUGAAGUAGACCGCCUGGGGAGUACGGUCGCAAGAUUAAAACUCAAAGGAAUUGACGGGGACCCGCACAAGCGGUGGAUGAUGUGGAUUAAUUCGAUGCAACGCGAAAAACCUUACCUACCCUUGACAUGGCAGGAACCUUGGAGAGAUCUGAGRGUGCUCGAAAGAGAACCUGCACACAGGUGCUGCAUGGCUGUCGUCAGCUCGUGUCGUGAGAUGUUGGGUUAAGUCCCGCAACGAGCGCAACCCUUGUCAUUAGUUGCUACGCAAGAGCACUCUAAUGAGACUGCCGGUGACAAACCGGAGGAAGGUGGGGAUGACGUCAAGNCCUCAUGGCCCUUAUGGGUAGGGCUUCACACGUCAUACAAUGGUACAUACAGAGGGCCGCCAACCCGCGAGGGGGAGCUAAUCCCAGAAAGUGUAUCGUAGUCCGGAUCGUAGUCUGCAACUCGACUACGUGAAGUUGGAAUCGCUAGUAAUCGCGGAUCAGCAUGUCGCGGUGAAUACGUUCCCGGGUCUUGUACACACCGCCCGUCACACCAUGGGAGCGGGUUUUACCAGAAGUAGGUAGCUUAACCGCAAGGAGG